rnacentral:rRNA from 1 species
AUAAAAAACCAAUGCCCUUUUGGGCUCCUUGGUGAUUCAUAAUAACUUAACGAAUCGCAUGGCCUUGCGCCGGCGAUGGUUCAUUCAAAUUUCUGCCCUAUCAACUUUCGAUUGUAAGAUAGAGGCUUACAAUGGUCUUAACGGGUAACGGGGAAUUAGGGUUCUAUUCCGGAGAGGGAGCCUGAGAAACGGCUACCACAUCCAAGGAAGGCAGCAGGCGCGCAAAUUACCCAAUCCCGAUACGGGGAGGUAGUGACAAUAAAUACUGAUACGGGGCUCUUUCGGGUCUCGUAAUUGGAAUGAGUACAAUCUAAAUCCCUUAACGAGGAACAAUUGGAGGGCAAGUCUGGUGCCAGCAGCCGCGGUAAUUCCAGCUCCAAUAGCGUAUAUCAAAGUUGUUGCCGUUAAAAAGCUCGUAGUUGAACCUUGGACCUGGCUGAUCUGUCCUCCUAAUCGAGCGCACGGAUUCGGUCGGGUCUUUCCUUCUGGGGAGCCCCAUGCCCUUCACUGGGUGUGGC